UACGUAGGGUGCAAGCGUUGUCCGGAAUCAUUGGGCGUAAAGAGCGUGUAGGCGGUUCAGUAAGUCUGCUGUGAAAGUCCAAGGCUCAACCUUGGGAUGCCGGUGGAUACUGCUGAGCUAGAGUACGGAAGAGGCGAGUGGAAUUCCCGGUGUAGCGGUGAAAUGCGCAGAUAUCGGGAGGAACACCUAUUGCGAAGGCAGCUCGCUGGGACGUCACUGACGCUGAGACGCGAAAGCGUGGGGAGCAAACAGG
rnacentral:rRNA from 1 species